UACCUGUUUGAUCCUUCCAGUAGUCAUAUGCUUGUCUUAAUGAUUAAUCCAUUUAUGUGCAAGUAUGAACAAAUUCAGACUGUGAAACUACGAAUGGCUUAUUAAAUCAGUUAUAGUUUAUUUGAUGGUAUCUACUACUCGAAUAACCAUAGUAAUUCUAAAGCUAAUACAUGCAGCAAACCCUUACUUCUAGAAGGGAUGCAUUUAUUAGAUAAAAGGUCGACGCGGUCUCUGCCUGUUGUUGUGAUAAUUCAUGAUAACUUGAUGGAUUGCACGGCUAUCGUGCCGGCGACGCAUCAUUCAAAUUUUGGCCCUAUCAACUUUCGAUGGUAAGAUAGUAUCCUACCAUGGUGGUGGCAGGUGAUGGAGAAUUAGGGUUUGAUUCAUGAGAGGGAGCCUGAUAUAUGGCUACCACAUCCAAGGAAGGUAGCAGGCGCGUAAAUUACCCAAUCCUGACACGGGGAGGUAGUGAUAAUAAAUAAUAAUACCGGGCUUAAUGAGUCUGGUAAUUCGAAUUAGUACAAUCUAAAUCCCUUAACGAGGAUCCAUUGGAGAGAAAGUCUGGUGCCAACAGUCGUGGUUAUUCCAACUCCAAUAACGUGUAUUUAAGUUGUUGCAGUUAAAAAUCUUAUAGUUGGACUUUAGGAUAGGCCGACCGGUCCGCCUAUCGUAUGCACCGGUCAUCUUGUCCUUUCUGUUGGUGAUGCACUCCUGGCUUUAACUGGCUAGGUCAUGCCUCUGGCGCUGUUACUUUUAAGAAAUUAGAGUGCUCAAAGUAAUCCUAUGCUAUGUAUACAUUAGCAUGGGAUAACAUUAUAGGAUUUUGGUCCUAUUACGUUGGCCUUCAGGAUCGGAGUAAUGAUUAAUAGGGACAGUCAGGGGCAUUUGUAUUUCAUAGUCAGAGGUGAAAUUCUUGGAUUUAAGAAAGAUGAACAACUGUGAAAGAAUUUUCUAAGGAUGUUUUUAUUAAUCAAGAAAGAAAGUUGGGGUCUCGAAGACGAUCAUAUACCAUCCUAGUCUCAACCAUAAACGAUGCCGACCAGGGAUCGAUGGAUGUUGCUUUUAGGACUCUUCGGACACCUUAUGAGAAAUCAAAGUUUUUGGGUUUCAGGGGGAGUAUGGUCGCAAGGCUAAAACUUAAAGGAAUUGAUGGAAAGGAACCACUAGGAGUGGAGCCUUCGGCUUAAUUUGAUUCAACACGGGGUUACUUACCAGUUCCAGACAUAGUAAGGAUUGACAAACUAAGAGCUCUUUUUUUAUUCUAUGGUGGUGGUGCAUGGCUGUUCUUAGUUAGAGGAGCGAUUUGUCUAGUUAAUUCCAUUAACAAAUGAGAUAUCAGCCUACUAACUAGCUAUGUGGAGGUAUCCCUUCGCGGCCAGCUUCUUAGAGGAACUGCGGUCUUUUAGGCCACGGAAGUUUGUGGAAAUAAUAGGUUUGGGAUGCCCAUAGAUGUUCUGGGCCGCAUGCGCACUACACUGAUGUAUUCAAUGAGUUUAUAGCCUUGGCCGACAGGCGCAGGUAAUCUUUGAAAUUUCAUCGUGAUAGGGAUAGAUCAUUGCAAUUUUUGUUCUUCAAUUAGCAAUUCCUAAUAAGCACAACUCAUCAGCUCGCGUUGACUACGUCUCUGCCCUUUGCACACACCGCUCAUCGCUCCUACUGAUUGAAUGAUAUGGUGAAAUAUUUAGAUCACGGUGAUGUGGGCGGCUCGCUGCCCACGACGUCGAGAGAAGUCCAUUGAACCUUAUCAUCUAGAGGAAGGAGAAUUCAUAACAAGGUUUUUGUAGGUGAACCUGCAAAAGGAUCAUUG
rfam:Capsicum annuum cultivar Zunla-1 chromosome 2, whole genome shotgun sequence